GGGUUUUAAGCUUUUGGUCCUUGAGCUUAAUAUCAAAACGGGAGCAGGAGAAAGGGAGAGAGCUGGACAAUGGCACACUUGACGGUGCAGCCGAGCUGGUCAGGAGACCUGGACAAGCUUCUUCUCAGGCCCGGCAAUCUCGUCGCCCCUGCCUUUGAACCUGGAACCCAAUUGAGGGAUGGUCUUCAAGAGUAUGUUCGAAUAUUGGUAGUGGGAGCCGGUGGAUUGGGCUGCGAGCUGCUAAAGGACUUGGCCCUAUCGGGUUUUAAGAAUUUGGAGGUCAUCGACAUGGACCGCAUCGAGGUUUCUAAUCUCAAUCGUCAGUUCCUCUUCAGGCUUGAAGAUGUUGGUAAGCCAAAGGCUGAAGUCGCAGCCAAGCGUGUUAUGGAAAGAGUUAGUGAUGUGAAUAUUGUGCCACAUUUUUGCCGGAUUGAGGACAAAGAACUGGAUUUUUAUAAUGAUUUUAGUAUUAUUGUGCUUGGUCUUGAUUCCAUUGAGGCGCGGAGCUAUAUAAAUGCUGUAGCUUGUAGUUUUCUUGAGUAUGAUUCUGAUGACAACCCUCGGGAAGAAACGAUCAAACCCAUGGUAGAUGGUGGGACUGAAGGUUUUAAAGGCCAUGCUAGAGUUAUUAUGCUGGGAGUCACACCAUGUUUUGAGUGUACCAUCUGGCUUUUCCCUCCUCAAGUCAAGUUUCCUCUGUGCACUCUUGCAGAAACCCCUAGAACUCCUGCUCAUUGUAUUGAAUAUGCUCAUUUAAUUAAAUGGGAUGAGGUACUACAUUAAUCAUCCUUUCCCACUCCUGAAGUGAGAGUUUUCCAGUUAAUUGUUCCUAUUUUAUGAUCAUUAUAUUUGUAGGUUCAUAGUGGAAAGACUUUUGAUCCAGAUGACCCAGAACAUAUGAAGUGGGUUUAUACUGAGGCUGUCAGGAGAGCUGAGCUUUUUGGCAUUCAAGGAGUUACAUAUUCACUUACUCAGGUACAUUUAGAUUUUAGGAAUUAAUUUUUCCAGAUCUGCAAAGCUGCCUGAUCAUACUGAAAAGAGUUGGAAAAUGACUUAUCGUUAUUCUAAAUUUUCUGAUUUGAUCCUUGGAACACAUCCCCUUUACCAAUCAGCUGGGCUACUGCAGUCCUCUUUUUUACCUGUGAUCCUUGGAGAACUGCUGGGGCACCCCAGUCAUUUUUUUAUGGUGCCUGUGGUACUUCUGGCACAGAGAGUCAGAGAGAGAAAGAGAAGGGAAGUUCUAUAAAAUGCCCGAUUGAAGAAGGGAAGUUCUAUAAAAUGCGUGAUUGAAGUAUAAUUAUUAUUGGCUUCAUCAAAUUGUUUCCAUAUCCCUUUUCUUCCUUUUCCUUCCUGUGCUGGAACAAAUUCUUUCUCCCUCUUUUACAGGGUGUUGUGAAAAACAUCAUACCAGCUAUUGCUUCCACCAAUGCAAUAAUUUCAGCUGCAUGUGCAUUGGAAACCUUGAUGAUUUCAUCAGGAUGCAGCAAAACUCUAUCCAACUAUCUUACAUGAGUACAUUUCUCCUGGAUUAAUUGAUUGAUUGAGUGAUUAAUUUAUGUAACUUAAUCUGUUUCUCUAGCAAAUGGCAAAGUGUACUGAAUGGUUUGAAUCUUGCAUAGGUAUAAUGGCGUGGAAGGUCUCCAUGUUAAAGUAACUGAAUUUGUGAAGGACAAGGACUGUCUUGUUUGCGGUCCAGGUGUUCUUAUCCAGCUAGACACUUCAGUUACAUUACAAAAGUUUAUUGAUAUGCUUGAAGAGCAUCAUUAGCUGUUCUUAUCAAAAGCAAGCGUCACACACCGGGGGAAGAAUUUGUACAUGCAGGCACCCCCAGUUCUAGAAGAGAUGACUCGAUCAAAUCUAAGUUUACCACUAUUUGAACUUAUGGGUAAAGUGCCAAAAGACAUUGUGCAUGUGACAGGUAUAACCUGCCAAAACGGCAGUAAAAUCUCGUGUCUCAGAAAAUUACGAGUUUAUUUCAGGGGAAAUGAGGCGGUCACAGGCAUGGACAUGGCUGGUGGGGCAUAAUUUUGCAUGCAGCACUUCUCAAUUCCAGAAAGAUACUCUUUUAGAAAUUUCCUUUACUGAAGGGAGAAGUUGGUGAGCAACCUAAAAUCCAUUUUUAUCACAAUUUAUCAGGAUAUGUUUCAUCAAAGAAACGGUUGUAGACAAGAGAGCAACGUUAUUAACAAAGAUUUUUACUUCUGUUAUUUUUGCUAAGGGAUAUUAAUGUACAGUUAGACCAUGCGUAUUGCGAAGCCUCCCUCUCGAGUAAUUAUACAGUUCCCUCUCGGGUAUACUUGCUUUGUAUAUAUGUUUGUCUUUCUGUAUAAGUUAUUUUACAAAUAACUGAUAGUAGAAUAUAAUUUCUAUACCCAUGUGAAAAUUUCAAUGUAAGAACUUCUGAUUGAG
rnacentral:misc_RNA from 1 species